GUGUGCUUAAGUAUACAUAAUUUUACACUUUUGAAAUGCAGAGAUUAAUUUCAAUAAUUAUAUGAAUUUUAUCUUGGCAAAUUUCAAAAAGUGUUGGAUAUAUGGAGAUUUUGUUUGUUAUAAUUACGUAAAAGCUAUUUAAAAAAUUUUUUCAUUGAAAAUGAUUUAUGUAUCAUACGUCCUUUUAUGUGAUUAUUAUAUGUCAUGUCCAUUUAUGUGAUGUGAUGAUUCUUUUGUAAGUGAAACAAAAAAAGUUGUACCUAUUUUAUUUUUAAAUUUAUGUUUUUAUUUAUACAUUUACAUUUCGCGGAAAAAUAACAUAAUUAUUGCGCGCGCCGGCAUCGAGCGCGCGUUCGCAUGAUCGGUAGACAAGAAAUAGAAAAGGCUAUAUAUUGUUUUCUUCUACGCUAAACAUUCGAACGUCGAAGCAUCGGCCUGUUGAUUGUCGAGCGCAGUGGAACGCACAUGUUUGUACACGUUCGUGUAUUAUGCAGUCGAGUUUUCUUUUGUGUGUGCCUAGGCUAUCUUGCGAGUAUCGGCGCUUUGGUUAAUUGAAUUAUUAACCUUAUUUCCCAUUAUUGUCUUGAACGGAAAGCUGUUCUGUUCCGCAAAAAGAAGAAGAGUUAGGCUCGGGCUCGAUUUCAUCAUGAUCAUCUCUCUCUCUCUCUCUCUCUCUCUCUCUACAGAAGGUGGGAAAAGCCAGUUUAGUAAGACGUUCAUCUCUAAGACGUUCACCUUGUAAUAUUGUACUAAGUUCGAAAAGUUCCUCAUCAAGAGGAACUGAGUCUUCACAGCGCUUACAUGACAUUCCAUUAAAUACUUCACUUAGGCACUCAUCAGAUUUGUUUCGUGUUAUUAUUACAAAAUUAGGAGCAUUAGAAAACUCAAUGAAUAUACUUCUUCCAAUGGUGAAGCAACUUAUAGUACACUUCCGACUAUCGAAAGUAUCUCAUAUGGAAGGUGUUCCCAAACUUCCAGUUGACAGUGAUGAAAAUUUGGAAGAAUUCGAAAGGUUUUUGGAUACUAAUACAAAUUUUGAGUACAUGCCCAGCAAACACAGUCAUAUAACAA